rnacentral:rRNA from 1 species
UGGGGAAUAUUGCGCAAUGGGCGCAAGCCUGAUGCAGCCAUGCCGCGUGUAUGAAGAAGGCCUUCGGGUUGUAAAGUACUUUCAGCGGGGAGGAAGGUGUUGUGGUUAAUAACCGCAGCAAUUGACGUUACCCGCAGAAGAAGCACCGGCUAACUCCGUGCCAGCAGCCGCGGUAAUACGGAGGGUGCAAGCGUUAAUCGGAAUUACUGGGCGUAAAGCGCACGCAGGCGGUCUGUCAAGUCGGAUGUGAAAUCCCCGGGCUCAACCUGGGAACUGCAUUCGAAACUGGCAGGCUAGAGUCUUGUAGAGGGGGGUAGAAUUCCAGGUGUAGCGGUGAAAUGCGUAGAGAUCUGGAGGAAUACCGGUGGCGAAGGCGGCCCCCUGGACAAAGACUGACGCUCAGGUGCGAAAGCGUGGGGAGCAAACA